GAUGAAGAACGCAGUGAAAUGCGAUAAGUAAUGUGAAUUGCAGAAUUCAGUGAAUCAUCGAAUCUUUGAACGCACAUUGCGCCCUCUGGUAUUCCGGGGGGCAUGCCUGUUCGAGCGUCAUUAUAACCACUCAAGCUCUCGCUUGGUAUUGGGGUUCGCGGUUUCGCGGCCCCUAAAAUCAGUGGCGGUGCCUGUCGGCUCUACGCGUAGUAAUACUUCUCGCGAUUGAGUUCGAUAGGUCUACUUGCCAGUAACCCCCAAUUUUUACAGGUUGACCUCGGAUCAGGUAGGGAUACCAGCUGAACUUAAGCAUAUCAAUAAGCGGAGGA
rnacentral:misc_RNA from 1 species